CCUGCUUGCCCUGUGUAGAUCUGUUGAACGCUGGUCCUAAUUUCCUAGCUUUUGUCCUUGUCUUUUUCCUCCCGAUGUUAUUCUUAUUGACCAGUCGUGGAACAACCUAGGCUGUUAGUAGAACAGUACAUGCUACAUUGUAUCCGAAAAUUGAAUUGAGUCACUAUACAACACUGGCAACUCCUUUUCAUUUUUUUCAGACUAGAUGCAGUUUCAUUAGUACUGUAUAUGGGUAUAUUAUUGCCACUUCGCUGCAUCUAUAUUUUUCUUCUGAGGGAUCGAGGCACUUUUCUAGAGAGUACUUUAAUCUCAAGUUGGUUUCCUGGCUGAUAUUUAUAAUUUAAUAAGAAUUAGCAAAUCCAGCUGUUAGCCAAAUGGGCAUGAAACUGAAAGAUGUGUUGUGUUGGGUGACUUAGGAAGCUGAAAAUUUAUUAAGAAACUUUCUGACAGAUCAAGAAUCUCAUGAUAAUGCAUCCUUCACUGCUCAUCUGAUAAGAUCCUACAUCUAGAUAGAUAGCUACUUGAUUUGUGCGGCUGCGGGUUGCUCUAAUUGCAGCGAAGUUCCGUACAUGAGUUAUUACUCCGGAGAGGAUUCAACCAGCAGGUGGGAUUACGUUGAAGUGAAGGAAGUCCAAGAACUGCAUGGUGUUUAUUACUUCCAUCAUCAGUGAAACGGAGUUUUAAAGGAAUUAAGAGCCUUCCUGAUCUUUCUAGGAUGUCUCCUCUCAAUCUCGGCCACCACUUCUUGUUGGUCGUGAUUAGAUAUAGUGACUCAGCAGCGUAGCUCGAUGGUGUGCUUUGCUAUUCUUGAGGUCCACAAUUCGUUCCUGGGUGCCACUAAAUUUUGAUUCCUAAAUUGAAUCUUCCUUGGUCAGUUGGACCAUUGAUGAACUGCGCUCCUCCUCGGCGCUUGGUGCUGGUCAUCACGUCUUUCCAUGCCAGGGUCAUCUGGUCUUCCCCUGCUCCUCUCUAAUGAUUUUGUGGCUUAUGGUUUCUCGCUCUCGCAUGCGCCCUACACCACCUUCGGUGUCCAGGCUGAAGCUGUGGCCUCUCCUCUAAUCACUCUGGUGGUCUUUCCUGAAGACCCUCAAAGGAAGACGCAUCUCAAGAAUCUCCGCCACCUAUUGCACCGCACCUACUCUCAUGGACUCUGGUCAGUUGCUCAAACACUAUCUACUUCCAGGUUGCACCUGCUCGCUCCUUGUAUUCAUUGCAGUGUCCAGAGCGAUCGAUCUGGCGACACGGCCACACUCCGCACCUAUGCUGCUCCUUGUUGCCAUAUCUGGUCUGCGUCCAAGCUGUCAGUAAUUAUAGACCGUAACAGUAAUGUGUUGAUGCACAGGUUCAGUAGGCUAGGAAAUCUAGACGCUUUUUGAUAUGUUCAUGUUGAUUGAAGGUGCCAACCAUCAGAAUGAUUUUGUUGAUUGAGUCAGGCUGUACUUGUGUACCUUCCACAUUCUUCUUGAGCAUUGGUUUUUGUUGAUUCAGUCUGGACUCUGGACGUACCUCUAGAGAUUUUGACAUACUUAGUGAGCUCUUGUGCCUUAAUGAACCUCGAUGGUCUGGUCACCGUUAUUAGUGCCUCCCCAGCCUCAGGUACAACCGUUUCGCCCUCCCCUCCCUCUUUUACUGCAGAACUCCUAUGUACAAUCGUGGUAUUGAAUUGGUGGUUUUAGUAUUCUGGAGGAAGUGACAGGGUAAAGGGUGUCGAUGUAGAUCGGAGUGCUGUGAGUUUGCAUCAGUAGACCACCCUAUGGUCAUAGUAGGAAUUGAAGUUCAGACAAUCAUUAGUGUUUCUCUCCUGCACAACUCAGCACACAUUAAUAUUUUUAGUCUGCUCAAAACUUACCUGCCCAAAUAAGCUUGAUAUUCAUCUUAAGAAGAACCAAGCAUGCUUCCAUGCCAAAUACAGCCUAAAAUUGGUACAGUAACCGUGGAUCUAUCAUUCCAGUAUUUAGUUGCAUUUUUUCUCUUCGACAACAAACACUCCCAGUCAGGUGGUUUACCAAUAGACAUAAUUGUUCAUUUGUUCUGCAUUCAGGUGGUAUUAUCCCAUGGCCACUGGAGAUGAUUGGGCAAAAAAUAGGGUACAUGUGUCAAUGGUGGGUUGGUGACAAGAAUAGUAGCAUGCAUGUCUUGUUUCUCAAUACGGAUGGAGUGCAAUUAGGACAUGACUAAGAAAUGUAAUACCACACUCUUGAUACUAAAUAACAACAUUGGUAGUUCGUGC